ACGGAAGGCAGCAGCUAAGAAUAUUCCGCAAUGCACGAAAGUGUGACGGAGCGACGCCGCGUGGAUGAUGAAGGCCGGAAGGUUGUAAAGUCCUUUUAAGCAUGAAGAAUAAGUUAUAUCAGAGAAAGGUAUAAUGGUGACGGUAGUGCUUGAAUAAGCAACGGCUAAUUACGUGCCAGCAGCCGCGGUAACACGUAAGUUGCGAGCGUUGUUCGGAAUUAUUGGGCGUAAAGGGCAUGUAGGCGGUUUUGCAAGCUUGGUGUGAAAGGCAGGAGCUUAACUCCUGGACUGCGUUGAGAACUGCAAGACUAGAGUGACUGAGGUGCAAUCAGAAUUCCUGGUGUAGGGGUGAAAUCUGUAGAUAUCAGGAAGAAUACCAAUGGCGAAGGCAGGUUGCAAGCAGAUGACUGACGCCGAGGUGCGAAGGUGCGGGGAGCAAACAGGAUUAGAUACCCUGGUA
rnacentral:rRNA from 1 species